CCUAGACCCAAAACUGAUUUAAUAUCUUGGAGAAAACAAUUUUGAAGGUAAUGAAAUAAUUUCCCACAAGAUAUGAGCUUAACUAACAAAAAACCAUUUCAAACUAAACUGAAGAAAUCACAAUUGAAUUUAGCAUGAACAGGAGACAUAGAACAUAUUCAUAUAUUCAAGCCUAUCCACCAGGAUCUGUCCAAAUAAAAUAAAAAAAUACAUAUUGUUAUGGAAGAAUAUAAGAAUAAAGUGCACAUGUAUUUAAACUCCUUGAUCAACACACCCUGCCAAACUCUACAUUGAAAUGUAACAACAACUUACACGCAAAUUCAAACACGAAUAAGCACAAUUCAACGUGUAUCACACCGUAUUGAUUUAUUUGCUUCGAAGAUAAAUACCACCAUCAAAACCAAAUACUAAAAGGCGAGCAGUUUCUUUAUAAUAAACAAUGACGGGCACGUUAUACAUAUAUUCAAAGAUCAGCUGCAUUUUGGUUCGAUUUCCAGUUUGAAACUCUUGCAUUCUUAUACAAAGCAACAAUAAGGGCCAAAUUCGAUUCAAGCAGUAAUAGAAAUCGAAACAGGGUAACUAACAUGACUUAUUUAAAUGCAUUUUUCAAGCAUUAAGCAAAUAAGCAAAGAGCAAACAAACACAAUCUUCCAAAAGUCCAUGUAUUCAACAUAGGUUCAUUAAAUUGAACAACUCCAAUAUUCAGCCAUGAAAAGCACCAUCAAAUAAAAUUACACAAUAGCCUUAGAUGCGUACCUAGUCGCCAAUAAUCAAAAGAAAUCAGAAAAUAACUCUCGGGACAGCAUGCCAAAUCGAAACCACGAACCUUGGACGGGAACUCAAAUAGAACCUCAGAUCAGAAUCGAAAUAUAAAGAAUAGUAGCUCUGAUUUUCAAGCUCAAUCGCAAAGUUAGAGAUGAUAGCAAUAACAGAAUAGAACCCAGAUAAAGGUGUUGAUGUUGCAGAUGAACCCCAAACAUACAGAGCAACGAUUUUUGAUUAAUCAAAUCGUGGCAAUUACAUGGACUGAAACAAGGUCAUAGUUACAACCGCAAAUUAACACAGCUUCAAACGAAUCGGCAAAAUCGAACCAGAAUCUCGGAUCGGAACAACAAACCACACCUCGAAUAGAAACUUCGAUUACGCAGCAAUCGCACCCCAAAAUUAAAACCACGAACUGUACGUGUGUGUGUGAAUGAAACUCAAGGUCGCUUGGUUUUUGCAAUUGGUUCUGUUCGUUGGUCAUGGUUGUGGGUUACAGGUGAAGCUACGUUGACGGUACAUGGGUGGUCGAUAGGCGGAGAUGAGGCAUGGAGAAGAUGGCUUACAUUUAUCUGUGUGCCCCGUUCAGCUCAACCCCUCGUGAAAAAGAUGAAAACGAGCUGGGUCUAGUCGACGGGUUGGGGUCGUUUUUGCACUGUAGCGGCUGAUGAAGAAGUAAGGCUGUAUUUUGGAGUUCUGGAACCGGAACGGAACCGCGGUUCUGGCGGUUCCGGCGGUUCCGGUUCCGCGGUUCCGGGCCUAGCGG
rnacentral:lncRNA from 1 species